AAGUCUUGACCAAAUUACGUGCCAGCAGUCGCGGUAAUACGUAGAAGACUAGUGUUAUUCAUCUUUAAUCGGUAUAUAGGGUACCUAGACAGAAUACCAAGCCAAAAUAGGGACUAGUAUUCUAGAGUUUUAUGUGGGAAUAUACGAAUUACCGGUGGAAAGAUAAAAUUUAAUUAUACUGGUAGGACGGGUAACGGCAAAGGCAAUAUUCUAUGUAAAAACUGACGUUGAGGGACGAAGCCUUGGGGAGCGAUAAGGAUUUGAUACCCUAGUAGUCCAAGGAGACAAUUAUGAGUGCCAUAGGCUAGAUUAUUUUAGUCUAUAAAUGAAAGUGUAAGCAUUCCACCUCAUGACUAAGGCGGAAAUGCACAAAUUGAAAUCAUUAGACCGUUUCUGAAACCAGUAGUGAAGUAUGUUAUUUAAUUCGAUGAUCCGCGAAUAACCUUACCACGCUUUGAAUAUUAAUGCAAAUUAAUACAAGUGUUGCACGGCUGUCUUCAGUUAAUGUCGUGAGAUUUUGAUUAGCUUCUUAAAUUAACGAAAACCCUUUCUUUAUUUGUUUUUAAAGAAUUUUCCUUUAUUUAAGGUUUAAUAACGGGGGACUAAGACAAGUCAUCAUGGCCUAAAUAGC
rnacentral:rRNA from 1 species